GAGUUUGAUUCUGGCUCAGAACGAACGCUGGCGGCGUGCUUAACACAUGCAAGUCGAACGGAAAGGCCCUGCUUUUGUGGGGUGCUCGAGUGGCGAACGGGUGAGUAACACGUGAGUAACCUGCCCUUGACUUUGGGAUAACUUCAGGAAACUGGGGCUAAUACCGGAUAGGAGCUCCUGCUGCAUGGUGGGGGUUGGAAAGUUUCGGCGGUUGGGGAUGGACUCGCGGCUUAUCAGCUUGUUGGUGGGGUAGUGGCUUACCAAGGCUUUGACGGGUAGCCGGCCUGAGAGGGUGACCGGCCACAUUGGGACUGAGAUACGGCCCAGACUCCUACGGGAGGCAGCAGUGGGGAAUAUUGCACAAUGGGCGGAAGCCUGAUGCAGCAACGCCGCGUGCGGGAUGACGGCCUUCGGGUUGUAAACCGCUUUCGCCUGUGACGAAGCGUGAGUGACGGUAAUGGGUAAAGAAGCACCGGCUAACUACGUGCCAGCAGCCGCGGUGAUACGUAGGGUGCGAGCGUUGUCCGGAUUUAUUGGGCGUAAAGGGCUCGUAGGUGGUUGAUCGCGUCGGAAGUGUAAUCUUGGGGCUUAACCCUGAGCGUGCUUUCGAUACGGGUUGACUUGAGGAAGGUAGGGGAGAAUGGAAUUCCUGGUGGAGCGGUGGAAUGCGCAGAUAUCAGGAGGAACACCAGUGGCGAAGGCGGUUCUCUGGGCCUUUCCUGACGCUGAGGAGCGAAAGCGUGGGGAGCGAACAGGCUUAGAUACUCCUGGUAGUCCACGCUGUAAACGGUGGGUACUAGGGUGUGGGGUCCAUUCCACGGGUUCGGUGCCCGUACGCUAACGCUUUAAGUACCUCGCCCUGGGGAGUACGGGCCGCAAGGCUAAACCUCAAUGAAUUGACGGGGG
rnacentral:rRNA from 1 species